UUCAGUUGCUUCCUUCUCAGCCUCUUUCUCAACUUCAGUUGCUUCCUUCUCAAUCUGAUAGAAUUUUUUGGAAUUAUUUUACAAUUUAAUUGACAUUGUUUAAUUGUUAAUUAUUAGAUUAAAUACAAAGUAAUUUUAAUCACCUUCACCACUGCUUUCAAAAGUUUAUUUGCUGUGAAACUUUGCCUUCCAUGACUCUCAAAGUAGGUACUCAUCUUUAUUUGAAAAACAUGUGAAGAGCCUAUGGUUUUCAGGAGUUGUGGAGGUAGGUCCAAAUCCCUCUUAUCUCCCUAUAUUGUACAAUCAUAGAUGGAUAAAGAUUAGAAUCAUAAUUUUAACAUAAUAAGCAUUUUACGUGUCUUCAUUAUGAUUGAAAAAUGGGCAAAAUUAGUUUGUUCCUGACCUGUUCAAAGGCUGAUAAAAGAUCAUGUAAUUUCACAUGUGCUAUUUGUUCAGCAAUGUCAUCAAAUACAACAAAUAUAGUUGAAUUGGUAGCAUCUCUGACAUCAAGCUCUAAUCGAAACCUAAUAUAAAUAAUAUAGAACAUUAAUAAUUUAAUUUUCAUUUCAUUGAAUAUAUUAUAUUAGAAGUAUUGGUUACCUUGUUGUUGGAUAGUCAACAUUCUUGUGGCAGGAAUCACAACUGAACUUUGUUGAUGUGUUAGAGACCUUUCUUUUGCAAUGAGGGCAGGAAACAUAAAACCACCCGUUUUUCAGCAAGAUGUCAUUUAUAGUUGCAGCACAACAAUAGGAUGUUGAAGUCUAAGGGUGGUUCAUUGCUUUGAAAUGGGAGGUAAUGGAUUUGUGCAGAAUUUAUGAAAUUGAGAGACAGUAUUAAUUUCAAUUAACAUUGUUAUUGAAAAAGUGUGCUCAAAAACAUUGUACACGUGAUGUAUAUAGUAUAUAGAAGAUUUCUUUGAGCAGCUGAAGGAAAUUCCGUUGGAAUAAUUUCUUUAAUGUCACUAUGUAGUAUUGUUGUCAGUUUCACAUUUGUCAUUUUCAUUAAGUGCUGUGUAGUCAGUUUUAUAUUUGUCAGUUUCAGGUUGUUGUGUAACUUUCCUUGGUUACUUGUCAGCCUCAUUGAGAAGCAUCUGUCAUCUUUGUAAUUGAAGUUGGAUUUGAUGAAACACAUACGUGUGCAAAGUGUAUUGAAAUCUCUAUUGACCACAUUGGAAACUUAAA